UACGGAGGGGGCUAGCGUUGUUCGGAAUUACUGGGCGUAAAGCGCACGUAGGCGGCUUUGUAAGUUAGAGGUGAAAGCCCGGGGCUCAACUCCGGAACUGCCUUUAAGACUGCGUCGCUUGAACAUCGGAGAGGUAAGUGGAAUUCCGAGUGUAGAGGUGAAAUUCGUAGAUAUUCGGAAGAACACCAGUGGCGAAGGCGACUUACUGGACGAUUGUUGACGCUGAGGUGCGAAAGCGUGGGGAGCAAACAGG
rnacentral:rRNA from 1 species